UGCACUUAUAUUAACGCUGACUCGCUCCUCUGCUCACCAGACACCAGUGUUGGCCGCUUUCAAAGCAGUAAAGGCCCACGCCACUCUAUAAAGGUGGCAAUCUUCAAAAACAACCUCUGAGCACCAUAACUUGGGAGUACGUAGAGACAGCUACUGCCUUGCUGUUUCUACCGUCGCAGAGAAAAGUUACGUCCCUGCAGCGGUACAGAUCUUGGCACGUUACCCAAGAAUUGUGUGCUCUACAAGCCUGUUUCACGGAGCCAGCGAAGGAUCCCAAACGCAAAACUCCCUCUGCUGCACACCUCUCCAAGACGGCCGUCGUCUUAGAGCAAGACUCCAGGCUCAGUCUGCACCGCCCCACGGAAACACCGCCGCUGCUCCACCGAUACUCAAAUCAUAUUGCCAUUUGAAUUUCAAGUCAUUUUUCUUUUUUCUUGUGUUUGUGCUGUCAGAAAAAUUUCUCAUCAAAAAAUGAUGAGAUCGGCCUUUGUAAAAUCCACCUGGAUUGGACCUUUCGGGAGAGCUGAGGACUUGGUUCGACAAAUACAACAAAGGUGGAUAAUGGAAGGAACAGUAAGGAAAAUAACUAUAAAAACUAGACAGUGGAGAGGUAAAACUAUCAUACAAGGGUUUCAGGUCUGUGUUAGAGAUGGAGGAGCUAGAGCUUUUGGAAUGAAUUACAAUGAUCUGUACAGCACGGUAACCUUUACUAUCCCUGAUGGCAGACAAAUCAGCAAAGUGUGCAUCGAGUCUGAUGCUUACAUACACUCUCUUGGUUUCAUACUUGACAAUGGUGAUGUCCUAGGGCCUGUCGGAACAACAAACCAAACCAAUGAGAAAACUAUACCUGAACACUGCGAUGACCUCAAGAGUGUAGCGCUGUGUGGAAUAUCAGGUAUUACGGUUCGUAGUGAAAAAGCUCCAGUUAUUUCCAAUGUCAAGUUUAAUUUUCAGCAUUAACUAUUCUGAAAUUGAAGAACAACAAACAGCAAACAAUUUCUUGAUUGGUAAAUAUUGUGUUUCUUAUAUAUGACGGUACAUUACGUUAAUAUUGUCAUGUUCCUACCAUUGCAACAACAUUCAGCGUUGUCACAAUGCUUCCAAUUUUUGUUUGUCUCUUGUUGGCUAACAACUGCAUUAUUUACUUCAAAUUGUUGCGUUGUAAGAAUAAUGUUAUGUCUUAAUGUAUAAUUAGUAUUACUAUAUUUCAUUGUAACAUUUUAAUAAUAAUGUUAUGAUAUGUAAAGAUGUAAGAAAAUUUUGCCAGUACCAAGACAUGAAACUUGAGCCGCAUGCCUUGCCUUGGACACCUCAGUGAGAGAAGCUGUCGGACGUACUGAUCCCUACUACUCGUGUCACUGCACUCAGUGACUUGGAGUGUUGUUUCCACCUCACAACAUUAAAGAGACCCUUUUGCCAUCCGCAUCCUCCACCCCAGUCAACCAAUAGAAACUGAUAGACCUAAUGCAAAUGUAAACUGCAGUGCUUAUUACUCCGUCCUGAUACCUGCAUUGGGUAAAGAUAUAUAUUGCCAUGCUUAGAGGCGUUUGUUGUGUAAUAUUUGUAAUAGUGUUUGUAAACUAUGUAAAAUGCAUGGGAAUGUUAACCCUAUUUGUAGAUGUAGUUUUGUUCAAAGCAAAAUGUUACAAAUUAAGGUAUAAAAUGGGAUGUAACUCAGGUAGAGAGAGAACACAAGACAAGAGAGCAGAAGCCGAGCGGUACCAAACUCCUGACUUGAGAGGAGUUAGGAGGGAAAUCAGAGGCGACACGGACAAAAUUACUGUUGUAUUAGUAAGUGGAAUUUGAAAAUUGGUGCUGCAGUCUAGAUAGAUUGUUGUCUCAUGGAGGUUAAAGGAGGAAAUAAUCUGUAGGAUGUUAUAUUGUUAAGUUGUAUUAGAUUUAAGAUUUGUCUUUCAUUUUUUAAAUGUUUGUGAGAUCUUUGACUCUGAAUUUUGAUGAUGAAUUAUUUUUGACAAGAAACUGGUGAUAUUGUGAGUCAAGCAUAUGGAAAGUUCAUCAGCCAGAUGCUGAAGUAAUUACUGACGAAUAUCAGUGUAUGUAAUUACAAUUAAAUUAAAUUAGAAAAUUUUA